UGGGGAAUUUUGGACAAUGGGCGCAAGCCUGAUCCAGCCAUUCCGCGUGCAGGAUGAAGGCCCUCGGGUUGUAAACUGCUUUUGUACGGAACGAAAAGGCCUGAGUUAAUACCUCGGGCUCAUGACGGUACCGUAAGAAUAAGCACCGGCUAACUACGUGCCAGCAGCCGCGGUAAUACGUAGGGUGCAAGCGUUAAUCGGAAUUACUGGGCGUAAAGCGUGCGCAGGCGGUGAUGUAAGACAGGUGUGAAAUCCCCGGGCUUAACCUGGGAACUGCAUUUGUGACUGCAUCGCUGGAGUGCGGCAGAGGGGGAUGGAAUUCCGCGUGUAGCAGUGAAAUGCGUAGAUAUGCGGAGGAACACCGAUGGCGAAGGCAAUCCCCUGGGCCUGCACUGACGCUCAUGCACGAAAGCGUGGGGAGCAAACA
rnacentral:rRNA from 1 species